UCCAAAUUUCCAAAAAAAAAGAGGUUCUUAUCUAAUUCUUAGCUCUAAUGAGAUUCUGUCUCCAAAACCCAAAUCCAAGCACGAGUGGCGAGUGCUGUGGACAUGCACAGAGGGCUCUCACCUUCACCUCUAAAGUUGCUUCCUCGUGGUUGCCAAUUCUACAUCAAAGAACAAGCAUAGGAUCGCUGAAAGUUUCUGGGAUUCGGUGAUCAAACGACAAAACCCUCAGAAUUUGCAAGAAGAGCAAAACCCAAUUCGAACCUUCACUCAAUCAUCGUCGCGCUUGUCUCUUCCACACUGCUCAUUUUGGAGGGGAAACAAAACGUAAGUUUGAGAGUGUAUACACUGGAGGCACCAUGAGCACGCCCAACUCUGGCCAGGUUUUCCAGUAUUGGCAUUGUUGUGGAUCCGAAGAUCCCUUUGACCCUGGAUGUACAGCUGCCCCACAUGCUUCAUACGACGAUUGAGGGAGGUGACCAUCUUCUGAAAUACAUGCAUGCUGCUUUCCUAAACUUCAAGUUUUCGAUUAAUUUCUAUAAGUGUGCUGUUCUUGUAUGUAUGUGCAAAAUUUUCUUCAUUUGUUCUUGCUGUGAAUCAUGCUCUAACUAUGUGUUUUACAUGAAAUUCAGUAAAUUAAUUUGCAAAUGUCUUUACUUC